UACAGAGGGUGCAAGCGUUAAUCGGAAUUACUGGGCGUAAAGCGUGCGUAGACGGUUGCGUAAGUCAGAUGUGAAAGCCCCGGGCUCAACCUGGGAAUUGCAUUUGAGACUGCGUAGCUAGGGUGCGGAAGAGGGAAGCGGAAUUUCCGGUGUAGCGGUGAAAUGCGUAGAUAUCGGGAGGAACACCAGUGGCGAAGGCGACUAUCUGGGGUGCAACUGACGCUGAGGCGCGAAGGCUAGGGUAGCAAACAGG
rnacentral:rRNA from 1 species